rnacentral:rRNA from 1 species
UACGGAGGAUGCGAGCGUUAUCCGGAAUUACUGGGUGUAAAGGGAGUGUAGGCGGGACUGUAAGUCAGAUGUGAAAUAUGCCGGCUCAACUGGCAGACUGCAUUUGAAACUGCGGUUCUUGAGUGAAGUAGAGGUAGGCGGAAUUCCUGGUGUAGCGGUGAAAUGCGUAGAUAUUAGGAGGAACAUCAGUGGCGAAGGCGGCCUACUGGGUUUUAACUGACGCUGAGGCUCGAAAGCGUGGGGAGCAAAC